rnacentral:rRNA from 1 species
CACACUGGACUGAGACACGGUCCAGACUCCUACGGGAGGCAGCAGUGGGGAAUAUUGCACAAUGGGCGAAAGCCUGAUGCAGCCAUGCCGCGUGUAUGAAGAAGGCCUUCGGGUUGUAAAGUACUUUCAGUUGUGAGGAAGGGUGUGUAGUUAAUAGCUGCGCAUCUUGACGUUAGCAACAGAAGAAGCACCGGCUAACUCCGUGCCAGCAGCCGCGGUAAUACGGAGGGUGCGAGCGUUAAUCGGAAUUACUGGGCGUAAAGCGCAUGCAGGUGGUUCAUUAAGUCAGAUGUGAAAGCCCGGGGCUCAACCUCGGAACUGCAUUUGAAACUGGUGAACUAGAGUACUGUAGAGGGGGGUAGAAUUUCAGGUGUAGCGGUGAAAUGCGUAGAGAUCUGAAGGAAUACCAGUGGCGAAGGCGGCCCCCUGGACAGAUACUGACACUCAGAUGCGAAAGCGUGGGGAGCAAACAGGAUUAGAUACCCUGGUAGUCCACGCCGUAAACGAUGUCUACUUGGAGGUUGUGGCCUUGAGCCGUGGCUUUCGGAGCUAACGCGUUAAGUAGACCGCCUGGGGAGUACGGUCGCAAGAUUAAAACUCAAAUGAAUUGACGGGGGCCCGCACAAGCGGUGGAGCAUGUGGUUUAAUUCGAUGCAACGCGAAGAACCUUACCUACUCUUGACAUCCAGAGAAGCCAGCGGAGACGCAGGUGUGCCUUCGGGAGCUCUGAGACAGG